CUACGUGCCAGCAGCCGCGGUAAUACGGAAGGUCCGAGCGUUAUCCGGAUUUAUUGGGUUUAAAGGGAGCGUAGGCUGGAGAUUAAGUGUGUUGUGAAAUGUAGACGCUCAACGUCUGACUUGCAGCGCAUACUGGUUUCCUUGAGUACGCACAACGUUGGCGGAAUUCGUCGUGUAGCGGUGAAAUGCUUAGAUAUGACGAAGAACUCCGAUUGCGAAGGCAGCUGACGGGAGCGCAACUGACGCUGAAGCUCGAAGGUGCGGGUAUCGAACAGGAUUAGAUACCCUGGUAGUCCGCACAGUAAACGAUGGAUGCCCGCUGUUGGUACCUGGUAUCAGCGGCUAAGCGAAAGCAUUAAGCAUCCCACCUGGGGAGUACGCCGGCAACGGUGAAACUCAAAGGAAUUGACGGGGGCCCGCACAAGCGGAGGAACAUGUGGUUUAAUUCGAAGCAACGCGAAGAACCUUACCAGGUCUUGACAUCCCUCUGACCGCUCUAGAGAUAGAGCUUUC
rnacentral:rRNA from 1 species